AACCUCACAACAAACUCACCAUAGAAGAGGUGAGUUUUAAGACAGCCAGCUGAUUUGUCAAAACAAAUCAAGUAAAAACAAAACAAUGUGCAUAAUAUUUUGUAUGAUUCGAAUUUAACAAAUAAAAACAAUUGAAAAUGGCUAAAAAAAAGAUGGCAUUUAUCGACUGAAAGAAGUCAUUUUCCAUCUAAUACACAGAUUCAAAAGACGAUCGUCUGGUCACCGAUGAUAAUGCUCCUCUGCGUGUUCUACUAGAAGCUGCACCAUCCAAAAAUGGUCACGCUGGACUACAAACACUUGAAUCCUCUGAUUUGCUGACACUGAAAACUCCAGGCGAAACCUUUCACAAAUCGGACUUAACCCACACAUGCCAUUUCCAAUUCUUAUUGAACACAUACAUACGUUGGAGUGCUCAAAUGGCGUAACACCAUCCAAAAUGAUUCAGUUAACUCUUGGCCAUCGGAAAAUGGAGGUGGUAGUUGCUACGUGAACGUUGAACACUAGGCACAGCGCUUGGAAUUGCAAGAUUUCUGCAUUGAUAUUCCUCUAUCGUUGAACCGUUUGUUAGCGAGUUUAAUGGAACAUUCAAGAAAGCAAGUUUUCCAAUGGCUCAUCUCAAUCAUUGAUGGUUGAAACAAGCCAGGAUCGAUAAAAUUCAGUUGUGCGUCAGGAGACUUUUUCCCUUUACAAGUAAAUGAGAAGAAAAACAAUCACUGCAACUCUAUUAACUAAAUCAUAGAGAAGUCGUACACCAUUGAAAGAGUCUCGGUCGCAGCUCAUAUGGAAUUGCUUGAAGCUGUACAAUAUCUUUUCAGGCUUGGCCUACAUUGACAUGUUGUUGCUGAAACAGAUAUUAUCUCACAGACAGUGCUCUUUAUCUCGUUUGGUUUGUUAAAGAUGUGUAUUGCUCGAAUUGCUAAUCCAUGUCCAGAUCAAGCACAGGACAAUGCUAUUAAAGUCAUAUAAGUAUAAUUUUUUUUUUAACAUAUAAACAAGAAAAAAGUUCUCUAAAACAAAAACUCGUCAUCACAAUGAACCAACUUCUUAUGUUAGCCAAACAAAACGAAAGGAGUUAUACAUAAAUCUAUUUAAAUGCAGGAAGCAUAUGUGCUGAAACAGACAACGGAGUUCUGAAUGAAGAUUUCAUUGGUCAACUUAAAUGUGGAUACAAAACAUGCAGUAGAAGUGCAAUGCCCUAACACUCGACUGUUUGUCAAAGUUGGUAAUGGAUUGGUACAUCGCGAUGGAGAAAAAAAUGAAUGAGGAUAGGGCAAAUGAUUCAGGGUUAGCAGUUGUUGGAGACGAAACUGCUCCAGCUACUCAACAAUACCGGAUGAAGUUGAAUCGCAAGAGAAUCUUGAUUAACCUUUGGUUCAUAUCAGGUUUGCAAAAUCUCGGCCAAAAGUUCUCGGACAAUAGAUGUUUUCAAAUAGCUGCAUCUGUAGACUUCUUCAGGCAACAAAUGACCAAUGUUUUAAGAACUUGGAGCAAUAACAUACCCAGGCUGCACGGAGUUUUUGUCAAACAGAAGAUGACCAAAAGGCCCAAAGUAUUGGACUCUUUGGUGCGUGGAAUCCCAGACAAAUUCAAUCCGGAUUUCUUGAUUCUUGAAAUCAAAUACAAUAUCUAACUUUUUAAACUCCACCAAAUCAUUAUAUCGGGAUUGAACGGCGACUACGUUGGGUUUAUGGUGUCAUAUUGGUUUUGAGGUAGUUCUUUGCAUUUAGAAUGGGCAAAAGCUUUUUAAAGAACACAAGCAACAAACAUUAUUAUCCGGCUCUCGGUACAAAUUUCAAUUUCUUU